rnacentral:rRNA from 1 species
CACGUAGGGUGCGAGCGUUGUCCGGAUUUAUUGGGCGUAAAGAGCGUGUAGGCGGCCAGGUAGGUCUGCUGUGAAACUCGAGGCUCAACCUCGAGACGUCGGCGGAAACCAUCUGGCUAGAGUCCGGAAGAGGAGAGUGGAAUUCCUGGUGUAGCGGUGAAAUGCGCAGAUAUCAGGAAGAACACCCGUGGCGAAGGCGGCUCUCUGGGACGGUACUGACGCUGAGACGCGAAAGCGUGGGAGCGAACAGG